UGAUGCUCUAGCAAGCUCAGUGUACAUCGCACCAGCUUCCACCCCUCUCUUUCCCAGUGAGGUCCUGUCUCAAGCUUUAUAAUGUGAUUCAGAAGGGUGAUGAAGAGGGGAAGAAUGAGAGGGAAAUGCUUCUGUUGACCAGGGUAGCUUCCCUAACCCCCACCGAUCAGGUUAGAAGACAAGACUUAGAACAUUACAGGCUCCUCACCCAGCGCUGGAGACAUGGUUCAUCACUGUGGCCCCAGGAACUUCUCAUUCUUGACACCAGGGCUGGAUCCUGGGCUGCCCUGCUUCUCUGAAGGAAAGAUUCUCUCUUGGAUGAAAAUACUCCGUUUUUUAAGUGACCUGCACUUUCUAUGCUUCUUUCCGUGAGUAAUAAUCUGGCAGGUGAUACUUACAGGA